rnacentral:sRNA from 1 species
GCCAGGCAUGGUGGCACAUGCCUGUAAUCCCAGUGGCUCUGGAGGCUGAGACAGGUGGAUUGUGAGCUCAAAGCCAGCCUCAGUGGCUAAGCAAUUCAGUGAGAACCAGUCUCUA